rnacentral:rRNA from 1 species
UACGAAGGACCCGAGCGUUAUCCGGAUUUAUUGGGUUUAAAGGGUGCGUAGGCGGGUUUAUAAGUCAGUGGUGAAAGCCCAUCGCUCAACGAUGGAAUUGCCAUUGAUACUGUAAAUCUUGAGUACAUUUGAGGCGGGCGGAAUGUGUCAUGUAGCGGUGAAAUGCUUAGAUAUGACACAGAACACCGAUUGCGAAGUCAGCUCGCUAAACUGUAACUGACGCUGAGGCACGAAAGCGUGGGGAUCAAACAGG